CACACGGGUCAGGUCGUACAGUUGGAAAAUGAUUAAAGCAUCAGAAAGGUCGCUAAACCGAAGGAAAACAACGUUUUUAGGCACAAAAACUCAUAUUGGUUAUGGAACAAAGAAGCACAUUUAAGAAAAUAUUUUGCCUGAAUGUGUGAGCUUGGAAUAACCUCGUCACUUCAUUCCCACAGUUAAGAAAGCAGGACACUGAGGAGGGAGAAAAGCUCCCCAAGCAAUGAAAGAACAGAUUUCUCUGGACUGAAGCUCAAAUACCUCAAAAGCAUAAGGAAGAAAAUGCUUUUCAGUGAACAGGAGCAGGACAGCCAAUUUUUACAGCAGAAAUGUGACAACAGGCAGGAAAUGGAGUAAAAGAAGGAAUGCAGAUGGUGACAAACCAACCAAACAGAAAAGCAGUCAGACA